rnacentral:rRNA from 1 species
UAAGACGUAGGGUCCAAGCGUUGUCCGGAUUUACUGGGCGUAAAGAGCGCGUAGGCGGUCUGUUAAGUGUGAAGUGAAAUCUCCAGGGCUCAACCCGGAAACUGCUUCGCAUACUGGCAGACUUGAGGAAUGCAGAGGUUUGUGGAAUUCCUGGUGUAACGGUGAAAUGUGUUGAUAUCAGGAGGAACACCCAUGGCGAAGGCAGCAAACUGGGCAUUAUCUGACGCUGAGGCGCGAAAGCGUGGGUAGCAAACAGGAUUAGAUACCCUGGUAGUCCACGCCCUAAACGAUGGAUACUAGGCGUAAGAGGUAUCGACCCCUCUUGUGCCGCAGCUAACGCAUUAAGUAUCCCGCCUGGGGAGUACGGCCGCAAGGUUG